UUUAAGAGGUUUUGCAGACACCUCGUGAGGCGCCAGCCAAAGCUUGCAUCCACUUGUUUCAUUUUUAAUAAUGGAGGGAUGUAUUAUG
rfam:Candidatus Puniceispirillum marinum IMCC1322, complete genome.